ACGUGCGUGUGCGAAGUUAGCGCUGUCUGCCGCGCCGCCGCCUGGGCGGCACCGAGCGGCGCCGGGGGGCUCCGGACAGGGCUGCUCCGGGCUGUCCCCCUCCUCUCCUCUGCCUCCUUCGCGUCUUCCAGCAGGACAGGCCGGCGGGGAAGGGGCGGGGGAAGAAGGACUUUUCCCAGCUGCGGAGCAGCACGGCGAGCCGGAACAGCCCUCCCCCGGAGCCCCCCGCAACCCACGCAUCCCCCCGCAGCCCAACACCCGCUCUCUCGCUCCCCGGGGACCGGGCGGGGGACGAGGCCCCACCCCUGCAGCGGCUCUGCCCGCCCGCCUCGUCAAAAGCGGAGCACGGACCGGCCCGCGCCUCUCCUCCGCCCUCCAACGGGCGCCGCUUUAACAAGACCCAAAGUGAUUUCCCAAAUUACACUCUGGGAUGAUGUAGGGGACAGCCCCUAAAGCACCAGCCCAUCCCGUGGGAUCGCUCCACCUGAGCGGGUUCACUGCUGCUGCCUUCCUCCCCGUCUGCAGGUGUGUCAGUGUCCCCUCGUCGCGAGGGGACACGCCCGAGACGGAGGAGCGCUCCUGGGCAAGGCUGUACGGAGAGCCGGGGUCCAUCCCGGGAUGGGGCCACGCACCCUGCAGCAGGAGCAGAGACCUGGCUGGAGGACAGUCAGCGCUGGGUCUCGCGGGGCAGCUGUAUCACAGAACGGCGAGGGUCGAGCACGGAGGCAUCGCACCAUCCACAAACAGCCAGCAGCCUGUAAAACAAGGGUGGGAAAUGGAGGCUGCUGUUUGGCCACAGCUGCCUGGAAAUGCUGCACAGGCGAGCCCUGGAGAGCUGUCCUCCCUCUCCCUCUCCCCGGGCUGUGCCUUAGUCCCCUGCCCAUUCUUGUGGCAUGGAACUUUAGUUAUACAAAACAUGUUAGCGAGGCUGAUGGGGAUUCUGCACGACUUCUGUUCUGGAGAGAAAAAUCCUCUGUUGUUGUCUAAUCUCAUUUCUACACCUGCCAAUUUUCCUUUCCCCUUCCUGUCUCCUCACCCUCUUCAGAGCACUAAUUAAUACACAACUGCCUUGGCCAUGCCAUGUCCACUGAAAAUCUGCAUUGAAUUAAAUGCUGUGCUUUCUUCCUAUCUAACUCAUUGUCUCUGCUAAUCAUAUCCUUAAUUAAGAAUUAUUAGCUGUUUUUAAAUGUGGGACUCCCAGUUGUUAGUGGCUUUUUUUCCUUAAACUACAAGUUAGCAAUUUUUAAAUGUGAUCGUGUCUUUAAUUGCAUAGAAAUAAACCCACAUGAUCCCAAACCCUUAA